UAUUCCGCGACUCCGGUUCUGACUUGCGAAAACUCCACUUCGCAUUUUCCGUCCGGUGAAAGCCCAGAAGUCAGGCUGAGUUUUCGAGUUCUGAAGCCGCCUUUUGGUGGUGGUGGGUGUGUGGGUGUGUGCCUUCUCUGCUGGCUUGGAGGCUGAGCAGACGCUCUUCUCUGCUGCGGGGGAGAGGGGCUAAUUGGAAACGUGGGCAGCCGCACGCCCCCUUUAUCGCUGUGACACAUCUUGAUGAGCAGUCAGGAAAGGGAUGAACAAAGGUGAGAGUUGUAUUUUUCGAAUUGACAUCUGCCUUCUUGAGAAUGGGUGCAGCAGAAUCCAGAGUGGAUACGGUGUGUUCCGGAAUUCGCAGGUUGUUGGAGUCAUGUGGGGGGAAAUGUGCUGCAAGACCAUCUCGGACAGAGACAUCAGGCAACGGCUUAAUACAAGUAGAUAGAUAGAUAGUUUUCAGCAGUUAAGGGUAGUUAAGUUACAAAUGAAAGAUUCUACCAAAGUGUUCCUAAGCAUGACUUAAAGCAACCUUGGAAAUGUCAUGAAGCGGAGCUCAGACUGGUGGCCUCCCAAGAAGACUACCCAACAGCCUGACCUUGGGCAACUGUGAAGAAGUAGUUGAAGCAAAGACCAGAAGCAUCUGUGUGUGUGUGUGUGUGUGUGUGUGUGUGUGUGUGUGUGUGUGUGUGUGUGUGUGUUUUACCGGGGUGGGGGGGCGUCUCAUGGAGGCCAUGUGGGGUAGCCAAGGAUCACCUUGAAUCUGUGAUCUUCUUUCCCCCACUUCACUUUUGCUAUGGUUACGGUGAGUGUCACCAUGCCCCGUUUAUGUGAUGAUGAGGAUUAAUCCCAGGCUUCAUGCCUGCUUAACAAGCACUCUGCCAACUGGACUGCAUCAAACCCAAGGAUCAGAAACUUCCAGUUCUGAUCUGGUUUGUGAUGGGUGACGUAGGCCACCAGGAAGAUGUGGCAAUAUAGCGCCCACACCCAACAGACGGUAGUAACUAACUGUUGCUAUGUGGGAAUGUAGACCUGAUAUUGCCAGAGCCUUCCUCCCAAGAGAAAUCUGAAAUCUGUGUUUUUUUUUUUUGUUAAGUGCUAUUGUUUGAAUAUAUCCUCCAAAGCAGAUAUGUUGGAAAUUAAUCCCAAUGUAGUGAUGUGGAGAGGCAGAAGCAUUGAGAAGAAAUUAUGUUUUGAGGGCUCUGACCUCCGGAAUGAUUAAUACUAUUGUCUUAGAGUGGGUUUCUGUAUUCUUAAAAAGAUUUAUCUCUUCAUUCAUUUUUAUUUAUUUUAAGUGUAUGUGUCUGAAUGCAUGUGUACUAAGGGACCCACAGAGGCCAGAGGAGGUUGUCAGAGUCCCUGGAACUGGAGUUACAGGCAGUUGUGAGCCACCUAAUAUGGGUGCUGGGAACUGGACUCUGGUCCUCUGCAAUCUUUCAGCCAUCUCUCCAGCCCCUUUUUAUUUAUUUUAGUACAAUGUAUUUCAUUUAUUCUUUGAGAGUUCCAUACAUUUAAACAAUUUUAUCUUGAUCUUAUCUACCCCAAGUUCCUCAUACUUCUCCUCCUUGAUUUCCUUUUAUAUUUAUUUAAUCUUUGUAACUCCCUUAGUUCAACUAAUGUUGCCUGCUACAAUGCUGACUUGUCCUGUCGGCUUGAUACUGUGCAUGUAACCCUAGUGCCAAUGAGUUCAUGUCAUGUCCAGAAGACAGUAUUUCCCAACACCCUUCCCCAUCUUCCAGGUCUUAUAUCUGUUCUUCCCCUCAUUCAAAAUGUUCCCUAAGCCUUAGGGGGGAAGAGAGUAGCUAUAGCUAUCCAUAUAGGGUGAGCACUAAGCAGUCACUUAUUCUCAAUACUUAACCCAUUAGGAGUCUCUGCAUUAACCAGCUAGCCCCUCCUCUUGUGCUGUACUUACUAAACAGACUAAGUGAGGU